AGCAUUUCACUGUAAGGUCUACUACACCUGUUUUAUUCAGCAUUUCACUGUAAGGUCUACUACACCUGUUGUAUUCAGCAUUUCACUGUAAGGUCUACUACACCUGUUGUAUUCAGCAUUUCACUGUAAGGUCUACUACACCUGUUGUAUUCAGCAUUUCACUGUGAGGUCUACUACACCUGUUGUAUUCAGCAUUUCACUGUGAGGUCUACUACAUCUGUUGUAUUCAGCAUUUCACUGUGAGGUCUACUACACCUGUUGUAUUCAGCAUUUCACUGUAAGGUCUACUACACCUGUUGUAUUCAGCAUUUCACUGUAAGGUCUACUACACCUGUUGUAUUCAGCAUUUCACUGUGAGGUCUACUACACCUGUUGUAUUCAGCAUUUCACUGUAAGGUCUACUACACCUGUUGUAUUCAGCAUUUCACUGUAAGGUCUACUACACCUGUUGUAUUCAGCA